rnacentral:rRNA from 1 species
GUGAACGCUGGCGGUAGGCCUAACACAUGCACGUCGAACGGCAGCACAGUAAGAGCUUGCUCUUACGGGUGGCGAGUGGCGGACGGGUGAGGAAUACAUCGGAAUCUACUUUUUCGUGGGGGAUAACGUAGGGAAACUUACGCUAAUACCGCAUACGACCUACGGGUGAAAGCAGGGGAUCUUCGGACCUUGCGCGAUUGAAUGAGCCGAUGUCGGAUUAGCUAGUUGGCGGGGUAAGGCCCACCAAGGCGACGAUCCGUAGCUGGUCUGAGAGGAUGAUCAGCCACACUGGAACUGAGACACGGUCCAGACUCCUACGGGAGGCAGCAGUGGGGAAUAUUGGACAAUGGGCGCAAGCCUGAUCCAGCCAUACCGCGUGGGUGAAGAAGGCCUUCGGGUUGUAAAGCCCUUUUGUUGGGAAAGAAAAGCAGCAGGUUAAUACCCCGCUGUUCUGACGGUACCCAAAGAAUAAGCACCGGCUAACUUCGUG